UGGCAAUAUGAAAGAAAGGACGGACUUAAGGCUGUUACCGUGUGGUUGGUAGUAGAGUGUUGAAAGUUACAACAAGGUAUAUUUACUGAGCCAG
rnacentral:snoRNA from 1 species